UCCCUGGAUGACUAGUGGUUAGGCCUCGGCGCUCUCACAGCCGUUGUCAGGGUUCGAUUCCUGGCCAGGGAA
rnacentral:tRNA from 1 species